UGGGGAAUUUUGGACAAUGGGCGAAAGCCUGAUCCAGCCAUGCCGCGUGAGUGAAGAAGGCCUUCGGGUUGUAAAGCUCUUUUAGUCGGAAAGAAAGAGUUGCAAUGAAUAAUUGUGAUUUAUGACGGUACCGACAGAAAAAGCACCGGCUAACUACGUGCCAGCAGCCGCGGUAAUACGUAGGGUGCGAGCGUUAAUCGGAAUUACUGGGCGUAAAGGGUGCGCAGGCGGUCUUGCAAGCCAGAUGUGAAAGCCCCGGGCUUAACCUGGGAAUUGCGUUUGAAACUACAAGACUAGAGUGCAGCAGAGGGGAGUGGAAUUCCAUGUGUAGCAGUGAAAUGCGUAGAGAUGUGGAAGAACACCGAUGGCGAAGGCAGCUCCCUGGGUUGACACUGACGCUCAUGCACGAAAGCGUGGGGAGCAAACA
rnacentral:rRNA from 2 species